GAUGAACGCUGUCUACAGGCUUAACACAUGCAAGUCGAGGGGAAACGCCGGGGAAGCUUGCUUCCCCGGGCGUCGACCGGCGCACGGGUGAGUAACGCGUAUCCAACCUGCCUCUGACUGAGGGAUAACCCGUCGAAAGUCGGCCUAAUACCUCAUGGCAUCGUCUGCGGGCAUCCAACGACGAUUAAAGAUUUCAUCGGUCAGGGAUGGGGAUGCGUCUGAUUAGCUUGUUGGCGGGGUAACGGCCCACCAAGGCUACGAUCAGUAGGGGUUCUGAGAGGAAGGUCCCCCACAUUGGAACUGAGACACGGUCCAAACUCCUACGGGAGGCAGCAGUGAGGAAUAUUGGUCAAUGGGCGGGAGCCUGAACCAGCCAAGUAGCGUGCAGGAUGACGGCCCUAUGGGUUGUAAACUGCUUUUAUGCGGGGAUAAAGUGAGGGACGUGUCCUUCAUUGCAGGUACCGCAUGAAUAGGGACCGGCUAAUUCCG
rnacentral:rRNA from 1 species